UUCGCUCGCGUUGUACCAGAUGGCCUUCUUGUAUUUUUUCCUUCAUAUUACAUUUUGGAGCAAUGCAUUGGCUGCUGGAAAACUUUGGGACAUUCAAUCUCAAUGGGUUCAAGCACAAUAUGGGAAAGGAUAUGCAAACACAAGCUGCCUGUGGUUGAACCGAGACAAUCUUCCCUUUUCCCAACGGCAAUUGAAGACUAUAUGGCCAAGUUAAAGGACAAAUCAGCAUCUGGGGCUGUAUUUUUUGCCGUCUGUCG